UUUGGGUUAAAUGGCGGAUUUUCAAAGAGAAAAUGCAUGAUUUUCUAGUUAAAUGGAUAAUUUUUGAAGAGAAAAUGGUUGUUUUUUGCGUAAAUGGGGGAUUUUCGAAAAGAAAACAGGUGAUUUUUGUGGUAAAUGGGGGAUUUUCAAAGAAAAAAUGGAUUAUAUUCGCUAAAAUGAAGGAUUUUCAAAGAUCGGAUUUUUUCGAAGAGAAAAAUCGGUUUUUUUCGAAGAGAAAAUGCAUGAUUUGGGGGAUAAAAGGGGGAUUUCUGAAGAGAAAAUGGGUGAUUUUUGCGUAAAUGACGGAUUUUCAAAGAGAAAAUGGGUGAUUUUGGGGAUAAAUGGGGGAUUUUUGAAGAGAAAAUGGGUGAUUUCUGCGUAAAUGACGGAUUUUCAAAGAGAAAAUGUGUGAUUUUCGGGUUAAAUGGGGGAUUUUCAAAGAGAAAAUGGGUGAUUUUCGCUUAAAUCGGGGAUUUUUGAAGAGAAAAUGGGUGAUUUCUGCAUAAAUGAGGGAUUUUUAAAAAGAAAACGGGUGAUUUUUGUGGUAAAUGGGGGAUUUUCAAAGAAAAAAUGGAUUAUUUUCGCUAAAAUGAAGGAUUUUCAAAGAGUAAAUGAAUGAUUUUUGCUUAAAUUGGGGUUUUUCAAUGAGAAAAUGGGUGAUUUUCACUAAAAUGAGGGAUUAUCAAAGAGAAAAUAAGUGAUUUUUGCGUAAAUGAGGGAUUUUCGAAGAGAAAAUGGGUGAUUUUUGUGGAAAAUGGGGGAUUUUCAAAGAGAAAAUGGGUGAUUUUGGGGUUAAAUGGGGAAUUUUCGAAAAGAAAACGGGUGAUUUUCGCUUAAAUGGGGGAUUUUCAAGGAGAAAAUGGGUGAUUUUUGCGUAAAUGAGGGAUUCUCGAAGGGAAAAUGGGUGAUUUUGGGGUUAAAUGGCGGAUUUUCAAAGAGAAAAUGCAUGAUUUUCUAGUUAAAUGGAUAAUUUUCGAAGAGAAAAUGGUUGUUUUUUGCGUAAAUGGGGGAUUUUCGAAAAGAAAACGGGUGGUUUUCGGGUUAAAUAGGGGAUUUUCAAAGAAAAAAUGCGUGAUUUUUGGGUUAAAUGGGAUUUUUUUAAGAGAAAAUGAGUGAUUUUCGCUUAAAUCGGUUUUUUUCGAAGAGAAAAUGCAUGAUUUGGGGGAUAAAAGGGGGAUUUCUGAAGAGAAAAUGGGUGAUUUUUGCGUAAAUGAGGGAUUUUUAAAAAGAAAACGGGUGUUUUUUGUGCUAAAUGGGGGAUUUUCGAAGAGAAAAUGGAUUAUUUUCGCUAAAAUGAAGGAUUUUCAAAGAGUAAAUGAAUGAUUUUUGCUUAAACUGGGGAUUUUCAAUGAGAAAAUGGGUGAUUUUCAUGAAAAUGGGUGAUUUUCAAUGAGAAAAUAAGUGAUUUUGAGCGUUAAUGAGGG
ensembl:lncRNA